GGGUAAAUCAACCAGCUCAACUGGUUGAAUUCUGCGAGCACGGCCAGACUUGGGACCGGGAGAGGUGUGGGGUACGCUCAGGGUAGGGGUAAAAUCCUGUCAUCCUGAGGGGACCACCUGUUGCGAAGGCGCCACACUAGAACGGAUCCGACGGUCAGGGACGAAGCCUAGGGGCACGAACCGGAUUAGAUACCCGGGUAGUCCUAGGUGUAAACGCUGUGGACUUGGUGUUGGGGAUUCUCCGAGGAUUCUCAGUGCCGAAGCGAAGGUGAUAAGUCCACUGCCUGGGGAGUACGGUCGCAAGGCUGAAACUUAAAGGAAUUGGCGGGGGAGCACCGCAACCUGAGGAUUGUGCGGUUUAAUUGGAUUCAACGCCGGAAAACUCACCAGUGCCGACGGACAGAUGAAAGCCAGUGUGAUGAGCUUGCUGGAUUGUUCGAGAGGUAGUGCAUGGCCGCCGUCAGUUCGUACCGUAAGGCGUUCUGUUAAGUCAGAUAACGAACGAGACCCUCAUCCCUAUUUGCUAAGGUUUCUCCCUUCGGGGCGAGAUCACAGGACUAUAGGGAGACCGCUGGCGAGAAGUCAGAGGAAGGUGAGGGCAACGGUAGGUCAGUAUGCUCCGAAUGCACUGGGCUACACGCGCAAUACAAAGGACGGGACAAUGGGCCGCUGCUCCGAGAGGAAAGAUGGCUAUCCCGAAACCCGUUCGUAGUUCGGAUUGAGGGCUGUAACUCGCCCUCAUGAAGCUGGAUUAGGUAGUAAUCGCGUCUCAAAAAGGCGCGGUGAAUAUGCCCCUGCUCCUUGCACACACCGCCCGUCAAACCAUCUUAGUUGGGGGUGGGUGAGGCUGCCUUUUAGUGGGGUAUUCGAGCCUGCCUUCGACAAGGAGGGUUAAGUCGUAACAAGGUAUCUGUAGGGGAACCUGCAGAUG
rnacentral:rRNA from 1 species